UACGUAGGGUGCGAGCGUUAAUCGGAAUUACUGGGCGUAAAGCGUGCGCAGGCGGUUCGUCGUGUCCGAUGUGAAAGCCCCGGGCUUAACCUGGGAAUGGCCGUUGAAACUGGCGAACUGGAGUGUGGCAGAGGGGGUGGAAUUCCGCGUGUAGCAGUGAAAUGCGUAGAGAUGCGGAGGAACACCGAUGGCGAAGGCAGCCCCCUGGGCUAACACUGACGCUCAGGCACGAAAGCGUGGGGAGCAAACAGG
rnacentral:rRNA from 1 species